GGGCGUUCCGCGUCUGAAAAGGGCGGAAAGAAGCCGGAAUGGGAAACGGAGAUGUUGUUUCGAUGUUUGCAGAUUUAAAGGAGCGAGGAAGGGAGUGGCAGGGCUCGAGAUUUACUUUAGGGGGGGCGGGGAAGGGGCUGCGAGGCGCCGAGGCACCUUUGGACCAAGGAUCUCAAAGCGCUUAAAGCUAAGCAUUCUCACUCCCACUUUAUGGAGGAGAAAACUGAGUCACAAAGAGGUGACAGGCCGAGGUAAAGGUCAGGCGACAACACGUUGACUCGGGUCAGGUCGAGCCCGUCCGCGGGCCUUCCUUGGCUGGCAAGUGGCCGGGGAGAGGGACAUGGCGCGUCGCGGUGGGACCCCGGUUCCCGAAAAGUGCUCCCCGAGCUCUUGGCAGCCGUCCUUGCACACCGGGAGGACAAAAGGAAACUGCGACCGUUAUUUCAGCCUUCCGACGCUGCCUUCCAGCCCUACCCCCACCCUCCUUCUCACUUUGUGAUCAGUAAUUUUCCAGCAGGGAAGUGCUGUCGCCCUCAUCUCUGCAAACAGUACUUUAUUCUUUUUUAACGGGAGUGUGGUGUUGGGUAUCACUUGCUGAGUGGAGGCUAGCCCGGUGUUCACAGAAGAUUUUCGGUUAAGAGUCAGGCUCCCGAGCGAGGCUCCGCCCUCUCCACCGAGCCCCCUCACUCGCCAAAAUUGCCCCUUGCCACCGAGGGUCCGCCUAAGAAAAGGGGGGGCGGGGCUCUGGGGAGAGGCUGGGAACCCCAGCAUCCUUCCCCUCCUAGGGCCCUCGUGCUCGCGUACCCGGGUUUGGAGUCCUGCGGUUCUGCUACCUUUUGGAUUGCGCAGAGUAUUUCUUGCCCCUGAUUUUCCGCUCCUCGCUGGCCACGGAAGCAUUCUUGGAAUGCAUGUCGCCCGAAGUGGAUAGACUGCCGGCUCUGCCAACGCCCGGAAUCCCUCUAGGUCCGGGGAGUUGGACUUCCGAGAGGAUGACUUUGGCCCAGGGCUGCGAGGGCCUGCAGCUGGCCGAGGGGUGUGCUUCGGCGGGGAAUCCGGGACCCUCCCUCCGGUCGACCCCAGGGGCUGAACCCCACCCGGCAGGUGCCCAGUGUCACAACAACUUCUAACCUUCCUCGGAGGCCUUCAGAACAGCACAAACUGUAUGAGUUGGCAGAUGAUGCGAUGGGUGUGCUCGGGGGUGAAAGUGGAGCUGUGGAGGGAAGUGAUGAGUGAAGAGGCUGAAGACGGAUUUCUAGUGGACAACUCUGCAGGCAGCUCUGGGCACCCAAAGUCCCCUGAGCACUGCCUGCACCCCGACCUGGGAUGGGUGUGUGUAACUGGCACAGACCUGCUUCUUUAGAAGGUGAGUGCAGGAUAGGAUUUUAAGUAUUCAGAUUGCUCUGAAAUGAAAUCCUGACUAAUAACUCUGAGAAGCUUGUGGCUUUCAUAAGGUGACCAAGCUUUUUUCAGCCUCCACUCUAAUCAACUGCUCUAUUUUUUCCCUUAUUGUGGUAAUAUAGACAACAUAAAACCUCCCACUUUCAAAGACAUAAUUCAGUGGUAUUAAUUAUGUUCACAAUAUUGUGCUU
rnacentral:lncRNA from 1 species